rnacentral:rRNA from 1 species
CCUACGGGUGGCAGCAGUGAGGAAUAUUGGUCAAUGGGCGCGAGCCUGAACCAGCCAAGUCGCGUGAGGGAAGACGGUCCUAUGGAUUGUAAACCUCUUUUGUCGGGGAGCAAAAGACGCCACGCGUGGUGUUCCGAGAGUACCCGAAGAAAAAGCAUCGGCUAACUCCGUGCCAGCCGCCGCGGUAAUACUGAGGAUGCGAACGUUAUCCGGAUUUAAUGGGUUAAAGGGGUGCGCAGGCGGAAGAUCAAGUCAGCGGUAAAAUUGAGAGGCUCAACCUCUUCGAGCCGUUGAAACUGGUUUUCUUGAGUGAGCGAGAAGUAUGCGGAAUGCGUGGUGUAGCGGUGAAAUGCAUAGAUAUCACGCAGAACUCCGAUUGCGAAGGCAGCAUACCGGCGCUCAACUGACGCUCAUGCACGAAAGUGUGGGUAUCGAACAGGAUUAGAUACCCUAGUAGUC